rnacentral:rRNA from 1 species
GAUGAACGCUGGCGGCGUGCCUAAUACAUGCAAGUCGAGCGAACGGACGAGAAGCUUGCUUCUCUGAUGUUAGCGGCGGACGGGUGAGUAACACGUGGAUAACCUACCUAUAAGACUGGGAUAACUUCGGGAAACCGGAGCUAAUACCGGAUAAUAUUUUGAACCGCAUGGUUCAAAAGUAAAAGACGGUCUUGCUGUCACUUAUAGAUGGAUCCGCGCUGCAUUAGCUAGUUGGUAAGGUAACGGCUUACCAAGGCAACGAUGCAUAGCCGACCUGAGAGGGUGAUCGGCCACACUGGAACUGAGACACGGUCCAGACUCCUACGGGAGGCAGCAGUAGGGAAUCUUCCGCAAUGGGCGAAAGCCUGACGGAGCAACGCCGCGUGAGUGAUGAAGGUCUUCGGAUCGUAAAACUCUGUUAUUAGGGAAGAAUAUAUGUGUAAGUAACUGUGCACAUCUUGACGGUACCUAAUCAGAAAGCCACGGCUAACUACGUGCCAGCAGCCGCGGUAAUACGUAGGUGGCAAGCGUUAUCCGGAAUUAUUGGGCGUAAAGCGCGCGUAGGCGGUUUUUUAAGUCUGGUGUGAAAGCCCACGGCUCAACCGUGGAGGGUCAUUGGAAACUGGAAAACUUGAGUGCAGAAGAGGAAAGUGGAAUUCCAUGUGUAGCGGUGAAAUGCGCAGAGAUAUGGAGGAACACCAGUGGCGAAGGCGACUUUCUGGUCUGUAACUGACGCUGAUGUGCGAAAGCGUGGGGAUCAAACAGGAUUAGAUACCCUGGUAGUCCACGCCGUAAACGAUGAGUGCUAAGUGUUAGGGGGUUUCCGCCCCUUAGUGCUGCAGCUAACGCAUUAAGCACUCCGCCUGGGGAGUACGACCGCAAGGUUGAAACUCAAAGGAAUUGACGGGGACCCGCACAAGCGGUGGAGCAUGUGGUUUAAUUCGAAGCAACGCGAAGAACCUUACCAAAUCUUGACAUCCUUUGACAACUCUAGAGAUAGAGCUUUCCCCUUCGGGGGACAAAGUGACAGGUGGUGCAUGGUUGUCGUCAGCUCGUGUCGUGAGAUGUUGGGUUAAGUCCCGCAACGAGCGCAACCCUUAAGCUUAGUUGCCAUCAUUAAGUUGGGCACUCUAAGUUGACUGCCGGUGACAAACCGGAGGAAGGUGGGGAUGACGUCAAAUCAUCAUGCCCCUUAUGAUUUGGGCUACACACGUGCUACAAUGGACAAUACAAAGGGCAGCGAAACCGUGAGGUCAAGCAAAUCCCGUAAAGUUGUUCUCAGUUCGGAUUGUAGUCUGCAACUCGACUACAUGAAGCUGGAAUCGCUAGUAAUCGUAGAUCAGCAUGCUACGGUGAAUACGUUCCCGGGUCU